rnacentral:rRNA from 1 species
AACGAACGCUGGCGGCGGGCCUCAUACAUGCAAGUCGAGCGCGAAAGUCCGCAAGGAUGAGUAAAGCGGCGCACGGGUGAGUAACACGUGGGUAAUCUACCUUUUGGAUUGGAAUAACCUGUCGAAAGACGGGCUAAUGCCGAGUAAGCCUUCUUGAACGUGAAGUUCGAGACGGGAAAGAUGGCGCAAGCUAUCGCCGAAAGAUGAGCCUGCGUCCCAUUAGUUAGUUGGUGGGGUAAUGGCUUACCAAGACAAUGAUGGGUACCUGGUUUGAGAGAAUGAUCAGGCACACUGGAACUGAAACACGGUCCAGACUCCUACGGGAGGCAGCAGUAGGGAAUAUUGCGCAAUGGACGAAAGUCUGACGCAGCCAUGCCGCGUGAGUGA